GGAGCUAAUACCGGAUAAUAUUUUGAACCGCAUGGUUCAAAGGUGAAAGACGGUCUUGCUGUCACUUAUAGAUGGAUCCGCGCUGCAUUAGCUAGUUGGUAAGGUAACGGCUUACCAAGGCAACGAUGCAUAGCCGACCUGAGAGGGUGAUCGGCCACACUGGAACUGAGAUACGGCCCAG
rnacentral:rRNA from 1 species